GAGGGAAUGGCCUCCUCCGACAUGGGUGGCCUUUGUGAAUAUUGAAAGCAUCCCUACUAAGUAAUGUUCUAUGUGGAUGCACACGUAGGAGACAUUCUCAUUGCAAAUGCGCUGCUCUGUCGGCACCCACACUGCUGCAGAAUUCUCAGACACACUGGUCUGAUGCCCUGUGGAGUUCAAGAAGCUGUCAUCAUGCAAAUUCUCCUAUUGAAAUUAAAGCAGUUUCCAUAAUUAAUAGAAUGUGCUGGGGAUAAAGCAGUGUAUAUGGGUUGUCUCUGUGUGAACACAGUGUAGACCUUUGUUAGAGUGCUCAGUGACCCUUCACCCCGAAGUGAAGAAGCCGGUAGAAUGAAGAUCAAAUUCUUUGCUGUGCUGUAUCAUGAAAAAUAAGCUUAAAUUAUGCAUAUCAACAUGGAUUAUUAUUAGGUUUACAUGGAGGUACCAUAUGUGAAGGUUACUUUAAAAAUAGAAAACCUAAAAUCAUCACAAGAGAAAAGCAGGGUUUUGCUUGUUCGCUUCAAAUCUGGUUCCACGUGUAGACUUAUUUAAGAUUUCUAACCAAGCAUCCUGGUAGACGCACCAUCCUUUCUGGGUUCCUCCAAGUCCCCGGCCUGGACAACCCAGCUCUGUUCUCCAGCCCAGGGGCAAGUGAUGCCAGUCAGGAAGUUCACGUGCAUUCCACAUUGCAGUUGGGGAUCCAGGACUGCAGGGCUCUGCGCGAGGGGAGUCAGCAGCUGCGCCGCCAGCCUGCUGCCUUCCUCCCUGCGUGCAGGACGUCAGAUGACACACAGGAGCACCGUGGGCGAGGCAAGGACGCAGGGAGGGGAGCUGCCCUUGCUGCACUGACUGCUCUUCAGGGACUAGAGCUGGCUGCGUGGAAAGACACCCAAAGGGUCAGUUCCGAUCGGUGGUGCUGGGUGGUGCUGCCAGGUGACAAAGCCAAGGACGUGUCGGCAGCAGGUGACAGUGAUGGGGCCAUCGCCAGCGCUAAGAACUCUGCCACAGCGCAGUGUAUUUGCUCCAGCCUCGUCCUCCAGAGCUGUGCGUACUCCGCAGGCUCCGUGACUGUCCGUUUCACAGGAGAAAUAAGGUUCCUCCGGGCACCAUGACCUGCCCGAGUGCCGGGGGCCAGUGAGGAGCUUAGGACACUCCCACUGCGAGGAGGGUUCGCUGGACUACUGACCUGACCCGGCUCCCCGCCUGGAUGCUUCUCAGCCAGGCUUGAUUUCAUCCAACAGGAAGCUUCUGAGCUCCGAGUAGAAGGGGUGGUCUUGUGAAGAAGGGACAGGGAAGGACGAGGAACCCAGAGAGUCCCACAGGAGAGGCCACUGUACCCCAGCACAGUCCCUUCUGAGAAGGAGAAACUCGGUAUUUGCAAUGAACUAGGCCUAAGGAGAACAGAAUUGGA
rnacentral:lncRNA from 1 species